CGAAGGGGCAGGGAUGUUCAGAGAUGCUGCAAAAGGAUCUUGCCCUAUUGCCUGGACAGUUCCAUCGGGCGCUGGCAAUGCUAGAACCGGAGUAGUGCCACGGCCAAGCCCAGGCAAGGCCACACUACUGGAGCUCCCCACGCUCAUCUGAGCAGUCACGUGCUGCCGCACUGCUCCCUGAUCGUACAUGCCGUUCAAGAGCAAGGG
rnacentral:misc_RNA from 1 species